rnacentral:rRNA from 1 species
CAAGUCGAACGGGAAUCUUCGGAUUCUAGUGGCGGACGGGUGAGUAACGCGUAAGAAUCUAACUUCAGGACGGGGACAACAGUUGGAAACGACUGCUAAUACCCGAUAUGCCGCGAGGUGAAACCUAAUUGGCCUGAAGAAGAGCUUGCGUCUGAUUAGCUAGUUGGUGGGGUAAGAGCCUACCAAGGCGACGAUCAGUAGCUGGUCUGAGAGGAUGAGCAGCCACACUGGGACUGAGACACGGCCCAGACUCCUACGGGAGGCAGCAGUGGGGAAUUUUCCGCAAUGGGCGAAAGCCUGACGGAGCAACGCCGCGUGAGGGAGGAAGGUCUUUGGAUUGUAAACCUCUUUUCUCAAGGAAGAAGUUCUGACGGUACUUGAGGAAUCAGCCUCGGCUAACUCCGUGCCAGCAGCCGCGGUAAUACGGGGGAGGCAAGCGUUAUCCGGAAUUAUUGGGCGUAAAGCGUCCGCAGGUGGUCAGCCAAGUCUGCUGUCAAAUCAGGUUGCUUAACGACCUAAAGGCGGUGGAAACUGGCAGACUAGAGAGCAGUAGGGGUAGCAGGAAUUCCCAGUGUAGCGGUGAAAUGCGUAGAGAUUGGGAAGAACAUCGGUGGCGAAAGCGUGCUACUGGGCUGUAUCUGACACUCAGGGACGAAAGCUAGGGGAGCGAAAGGGAUUAGAUACCCCUGUAGUCCUAGCCGUAAACGAUGGAUACUAGGCGUGGCUUGUAUCGACCCGAGCCGUGCCGAAGCUAACGCGUUAAGUAUCCCGCCUGGGGAGUACGCACGCAAGUGUGAAACUCAAGGAAUUGACGG